AAAAGUUUGGUCCUAGCUUUUUUAUUAGUUGUUAAUAAAAUUAUACAUGCAAGAGUCAUCUAUCCAGUGAAAAUGCCCUUUAAAUAAAUAAAAUUAAAAGGAGCCGAUAUCAAGCACACCAAUGGUAGCUCAUAACAUCUUGCUCAGCCACACCCCCACGGGAUACAGCAGUAAUUAAAAUUAAGCAAUAAACGAAAGUUUGACUAAGUUAUAUAACAAAUUAAGGGUUGGUAAAUCUCGUGCCAGCCACCGCGGUCAUACGAUUAACCCUAAUUAAUAAAACCCGGCGUAAAGAGUGUUAAAAUUGAUAAACCAAAAUAAGAUUAAAUUUCAUCUAAGUUGUAAAAAACUACAGACAAAAAUAAAACCAAACACGAAAGUAAUCUUAUUAUAAUUAUAAACACUAAAGCUAAGGUACAAACUGGGAUUAGAUACCCCACUAUGCUUAGCCGUAAACAAAGACAUUUAAAAACAAGAAUGUUCGCCAGAGAACUACUAGCAACAGCUUAAAACUCAAAGGACUUGGCGGUGCUUUAAACCCACCUAGAGGAGCCUGUUCUAUAAUCGAUGAACCCCGUUACACCUCACCACUUCUUGCUAAUUCAGCCUAUAUACCGCCAUCUUCAGCAAACCCUAAUAAGGAUAAAAAGUAAGCACAAUUAUAUCCAUAAAAACGUUAGGUCAAGGUGUAGCUAAUGAAGUGGAAAGAAAUGGGCUACAUUUUCUUCAUUAUAAAAGAACAUAACAGUAAUCUCUAUGUAACCUAGAAAUUUAAGGAGGAUUUAGUAGUAAAUUAAGAAUAGAGAGCUUAAUUGAACUUGGCUAUGAAGCACGCACACACCGCCCGUCACCCUCCCCAAGUAUAUACUCAAUUUUAUUUAAAUUCCUAAUAUGAGAGGAGAUAAGUCGUAACAAGGUAAGCAUACUGGAAAGUGUGCUUGGAAAA
rnacentral:ncRNA from 1 species